rnacentral:rRNA from 1 species
AGAGGGUGAACGGCCACACUGGGACUGAGACACGGCCCAGACUCCUACGGGAGGCAGCAGUGGGGAAUAUUGCGCAAUGGGGGAAACCCUGACGCAGCAACGCCGCGUGAACGAAGAAGGUUUUCGGAUCGUAAAGUUCUGUCAGAGGGGAAGAAUAAUGACGGUACCCUCAGAGGAAGCCCCGGCUAACUACGUGCCAGCAGCCGCGGUAAUACGUAGGGGGCGAGCGUUGUCCGGAAUUACUGGGCGUAAAGGGCGUGUAGGCGGUUUUUUAAGUCAGGCGUUAAAAUUCGGGGCUUAACCCCGGAGUGCGUUUGAAACUGAAGAACUUGAGUACUGGAGAGGUAAGUGGAAUUCCUAGUGUAGCGGUGAAAUGCGUAGAGAUUAGGAGGAACACCAGUGGCGAAGGCGGCUUACUGGCCAGAUACUGACGCUGAGGCGCGAAAGCGUGGGUAGCAAACAGGAUUAGAUACCCUGGUAGUCCACGCCGUAAACGAUGA